rnacentral:rRNA from 1 species
AAUGGGCGAAAGCCUGAUGCAGCAACGCCGCGUGAGUGAUGAAGGUCUUCGGAUUGUAAAGCUCUGUCUUUUGGGACGAUAAUGACGGUACCAAAGGAGGAAGCCACGGCUAACUACGUGCCAGCAGCCGCGGUAAUACGUAGGUGGCAAGCGUUGUCCGGAUUUACUGGGCGUAAAGGGUGCGUAGGCGGAUGUUUAAGUGAGAUGUGAAAUACCCGGGCUUAACCUGGGUACUGCAUUUCAAACUGGAUAUCUAGAGUGCAGGAGAGGAGAAUGGAAUUCCUAGUGUAGCGGUGAAAUGCGUAGAGAUUAGGAAGAACACCAGUGGCGAAGGCGAUUCUCUGGACUGUAACUGACGCUGAGGCACGAAAGCGUGGGUAGCAAA